rnacentral:rRNA from 2 species
UGGGGAAUAUUGCACAAUGGGCGAAAGCCUGAUGCAGCAAUGCCGCGUGAGGGAUGAAGGCCUUCGGGUCGUAAACCUCUGUCCUUGGGGAAGAUAAUGACGGUACCCUUGGAGGAAGUCCCGGCUAACUACGUGCCAGCAGCCGCGGUAAUACGUAGGGGGCAAGCGUUAUCCGGAAUUAUUGGGCGUAAAGGGUGCGUAGGCGGUUUCUUAUGCGCGGGGUGAAAGGCAAUGGCUCAACCAUUGUUAGCCUCGCGAACUGGGAGGCUUGAGUGCAGGAGAGGAAAGUGGAAUUCCUAGUGUAGCGGUGAAAUGCGUAGAUAUUAGGAGGAACACCAGUGGCGAAGGCGACUUUCUGGACUGUAACUGACGCUGAGGCACGAAAGUGUGGGGAGCAAACAGG